CGGUGUUUAACUGGCGUGAUGUGGGACGUCCUACCGGUGGGCUUAGCCUCGCGAGGGGCGGCCCAACUAAUAUCCCGUCGCGGUGCUCUUUACUGAGUGUCGAGUCGGGCCGGUACGUUUACUUUGAACAAAUUAGAGUGCUUAAAGCAGGCUAUCCUCGCCUGAAUACUGCGUGCAUGGAAUAAUGGAAUAGGACCUCGGUUCUAUUUUGUUGGUUUUCGGAACCCCGAGGUAAUGAUUAAUAGGGACAGAUGGGGGCAUUCGUAUUGCGACGUUAGAGGUGAAAUUCUUGGAUCGUCGCAAGACGGACAGAAGCGAAAGCAUUUGCCAAAAAUGUUUUCAUUAAUCAAGAACGAAAGUUAGAGGUUCGAAGGCGAUCAGAUACCGCCCUAGUUCUAACCAUAAACGAUGCCAGCUAGCGAUCCGCCGAAGUUCCUCCGAUGACUCGGCGGGCAGCUUCCGGGAAACCAAAGCUUUUGGGUUCCGGGGGAAGUAUGGUUGCAAAGCUGAAACUUAAAGGAAUUGACGGAAGGGCACCACCAGGAGUGGAGCCUGCGGCUUAAUUUGACUCAACACGGGAAACCUCACCAGGCCCAGACACCGGAAGGAUUGACAGAUUGAUAGCUCUUUCUUGAUUCGGUGGGUGGUGGUGCAUGGGCCGUUCUUAGUUGGUGGAGCGAUUUGUCUGGUUAAUUCCGAUAACGAACGAGACUCUACCCUGCUAAAUAGGCGUACCUUAUGGUAUCGCGAAGGCCCCCGGCUUCGGCCGGUGGGUUUUUACUACCAACGUACAAACAAAUCUUCUUAGAGGGACAGGCGG
rnacentral:rRNA from 1 species